GUGACCUUGCAAUGGUUGCAGGUGGAGAUGUGAGUCACUAAGUUGGAAAAUUUCUAGGGAACUUGAAACGGGAGCUCAGAAAGACUAUAAAAAAACAGCCUGCACUCCUUGGUCAAGAUGUCCAAAGGAUUUUGAUCAAUAAUACCCUUGGCUAAUGGGAGUGUGGAAAUUUGCAGUUUUAGAGACUGUUAGAAAUAUAAAUUGGAAUAGCCCUUUUAGAAGACAUACGGCACAAUAAUUACUGAUGAGGAUGCUGUCACAGGCCAGCUCCUGAAGAAAUGCCGGAGGUCUUCAGUCUGGCUCAGUCACCUGCCCUGUGCACCCAUAUUCCCUGGAAAUAUACUGCCAGUCUCCACAGCCGCUUCUAUUUCCUGAACGCUAACUAGGGGCAGGAAGUUUGAAGCAGAUCAGCGGUACACUGUGGUUAUGGUGACAGUGAGGAAGAAAGGAGCAAGUCGGUAAGCAACGGUGGGCAGGAAAUCCUGGAGAUGUUCGUGGAUCCUGCACUCAGGCCCACAGCAUGACACCUGAAAACAUGAGGUCAUGCUCUGUGCAUAGAACCUGCAGAACUCCUCCUGGCCUCAUGUCAGAAGAAAGCAAGUUUGAAUGCAAGGGCUGAAGAAAGGGAGAAGAGUGAUAAAUGAGAUGCAGCAGAAAAGCCAUGAGCCUCAGAGUCAGAAGACAUUUAUUUGAAUCCCAGAUCCACCUCUGAAGAGCAGGCAAACUGCUUUCUGCCUCACACUUGCCCUCAAAGGAGUGACAGUUUUGUCAUGAGAUUUUCUAACGCCUCUUUUGAUAAUUAUGGGAGAAAUGGAGUACAAAGCUACAAGCAUAGCAGCUCUAUUUAGUGUCCCUUGAGAGCUAUUAACUCAACACAUCCAAAACUGAGCUCCUCAGCCCAUCAGCCGGGAAGAAGUCUUCUGUCCUCUACCUCUCAGGUGCCACUUGCCCCUCCUGCUUUGUUCCCAGGUCUCCCUCUCCACUGAGGUGAUGUGGAACCAUCGGACUGAGUUUUAUGCUCAUCAGUGUGUCCAUGCAAGAAAGGGCACACAAAUCACCCGGAGAUCUUGUUCAGCUGGACAGACUGUCUCUGUGGACCUGCAUAAGGCCUGAGGCUUUGCAUCUCUUACAGCUCCAACGUGAUGCCAGCGUGGCUGGUGCAUGAACCACAUUCAAGCAGCCAGACCACAUCUCUGGAAACACAUGUCCUUGGCACAGAGCACUUCCUAGAUAAUUCUACGUGCUGAAUCAGGUCAGGCGUGUGCCAGUGACUUGAGUGUGCAGAGCCAGGAGAUGCGCUGGCCAGCAAGCCACUGCAUAUUUAGAACCCACAGCCAACCUAAGCUUGGUUAAGAAAAGGAGGGUUUAUUUUCCACCAUGACUAAGGUGUCCAUGCUGAAAGACCAACAACCCAAAGGAAGAAGGGUAAUAUCGGACCUUCUCAAACUAGAAACAAGGACUCUCAAUCUGGAGUUGUGGGCUUCCCAGCCUCUGUGUCUCCCUCCCCUCAUUCCCAGACUCUGCCCUGACUUUCAUGUGUACUGAUCUCCCCUUCACGUCAUUCUGAACUCCAUGAAGCUGAAGCUGAGAUGGUCUUUUGGUCCCCUCAAGUAUAACAACCUAGAGUGUGUUCAGAAUAUCUAAACUGCCAGACCCUGGCCUGCACAGGACCCACAGCCAUAGCCAGCAGUUUCAGUUUGGUUAAGAAUGCAUACCUUCUCUCCACAAACCACUAAUCUCUUUCUGUUCUAAAACCUGCACGCAGCAAUCAAUUUUACCCUAAAAUAUAAAGCCAAAAUCAACAGGGAAGGCACAGGGUGCAAAGACCUUUCUCCUCAGUCCAGACACAUAUCUUCCUUUCAGUGUGGCCAGCUAGAUCCCUCAGCUUCCCCAGCUCUCCCUCCAGGGGGCUUGUGCUAACAGCUCCAAGAAGCACUCAGAUGCCUCCAGAGUCCUCUACAGGGAGGCAAGGUGAUUCAGGCACAUAGGAGCCUGUGCCAUCCAAGGAAGGGAACAUGGAGGGGCAUGUUAGGAGGAUGCUGUACACAUAACAUGAACUGGAGUGUGGCAUGGAGUCCACUUGGCCUGUUUGUUUUUGCUAAGUAUCCUAGGCUUUGAAGAAGGGAGGUCAGCUCUUUACGUUCUACCUUACGCUAGCUGUGUGGCCAUGGGGAAGUAAGCCAACCUCUCUGAAACUUGAAUUUCUUCAUCUGUUAAAAAAAGAUGAUGAUAAUUCUGACCUCACAAAGUUAUUUGCAAGAGUUAAAUGAGUGAACACAAGAUACACAAAGAAUAUACCAUCAGCCAGGAAUUCAUAUAAUGAUAAUGAUAAAACUAUGACCCCAGUGCCCAGUAUGGGGCCGAAGGUCUUGUGUAACCUUAAAAAAUGUUUGAGGAAGAGAGGAUGGAAAGAAAGAAAGAUGGAGGGAGAUGGAAGAUGACAAGAAAGAAAGGAAAUGCAGAAUAAGAGGUUCAGGCCGUGGAUGAGAGUAACUAACACAUCUGAAUCUGGGAGGUCCAUCGGAUGGAGGUAGGUGGAGUCACAUAUUCUAAGUGGAUGCGUGGUGCCACUAGGCUCACAUCAUCGUCCCUAUUGAGAAACCUCAUCUACUGAACACUCAGGGAGCCGACAGCUCAGAGGGCUUUUUGAGGACUGGCACCAGCAAGUGAAGCCCGUGAGACAGCCACAAACCCCAGCUUCCCAGGGUCUCACUGUGUCUAUUGUAGAGCUACCUGUUGCAUGUCACCGUUUUCCCCUGCAAACUACACCCGUGCAAUGUGAAGGGAGUGAAAGGCCCCAUUUAUGUCACAGCAUGACUUCAGCAAGGCACUUUUCAGAGCUCAGUUCUUCUCCUUCAAAGAGGGCAGGGAAAGCAGUCCCUGCCCUGCCUACCCCACACUUACGGGAUAGUGCUAGCCUUAAAAAGCAUGCCCCAGAUAAACUGAUUAUCAGGGCCUCCAGCACACUCUCCAAGCAAAACAUUUCUUGGUGUCCUGUUCCCGAAACUAAAAAAAAAAAAUUACAGUAGACUUUUGUGGUUGGCUUCUUUCUCUUUUCCAUAGAAAGCUGGGGAGGGGAAGUGAGGUUUCAUCAACAGACAGGGUGGUCUGGGUCUAACUCAUUCUAGCUCCUUGGAACCCAAGAGAAACUAAAAAAUGCCACAUACCCUGAGCCCACCACCAGAAAUGCUCAUUUCAUUCUUUGUAGUUGAAAUUUUGCCUAGCUAUUUCUAUAUCCCAAGUGAUUGUUUAUGUUGAGAAUUCCUGGACUCCUCAGUGAGGUGAAAAACGAAUAAAUGAAAGGAAGAGAACAACCUAAAGAUGAGAGUAUAGUGUGAUGUAGAAGCUUUUCCCCAUAGCUCAAGGGCCUGUGAACCAGCAGAAUAAAAACUAUGAAAGCAGCUGUAACAGCUGACAUUUGUCAAACACACACCCUCCCGAGCAUGUGACAGCCUUUAUCCACUGUGUCCUCGCUGAUUUUUGCCCCAUUUCAGAGCAGGACAGACAGGGACCACUGCUGAAUGUGUCUUGCUUGGAGGUAACCAGCUUUGUCACUUGCUGUUAAGCGAUGGUAUGAUAACAUUCUGGCCCAUGAUGUGAAGUAGGAAUCCUCUUUCUGAUUUCCAUUAUUUUUAAAUCCAAGACCUGUGGAGAAUGGUUGUGAAGCAGAAUAAACUUUGA